rnacentral:lncRNA from 1 species
GUAUCGGGAUCUGGACCGAGGCUCCUUUCGACCACGUGGCCGUCAACUCAGGUGCAGACGUGCCUGUCGUGUGCGAAGACGUAAGCCGCAAGAAACCGGCGCACACUGUGCCGUGCGUGCGUUUCUAUGGCGACAGGGGUGAGCUGAAUUACAGCGUUUACGUAUACACGGACGAACACAUCACCACCGACGAGCUCGCCUUCCGAGUACCUCAGGUCUUCAAACCACCAGGGGAGCCCAGCAAGCUUCUCACUCAUAUAUUCUCUACUCUUGCAAGAAUAAACUUCGCCCACAUUGGACUCCAGAGCAACAACGCUACUGACGUUCUUCCUGUGCAGGUGUGUACCACACUGCACUUCAUGGAACAGCUGUAACAUAACGCAAAUUAUUUAUCAGCAUAGCAAAUCUGCCGCGCUUUUGAAUGUGUAUUCCAAGAAAGGAGAGAUGAAUAGAAAUAGCUAUUCAAUGCUCU